UGCGUGGUGGCAGACGGGCGGGCAGCGCGCGCUCCUGACGAGCGCCGACGGCGGGGCCUCGUGGCGGGCGGCGGCCGAACCGUCGGCCGCGCGGCC
rnacentral:tRNA from 1 species